CACGUAGGGGGCAAGCGUUGUCCGGAUUUAUUGGGCGUAAAGAGCUCGUAGGUGGUUCGGUAAGUCGGGUGUUAAACCCCCAGGCUCAACCUGGGGACGCCACUCGAUACUGCUGUGACUAGAGUCCGGUAGGGGAGCGUGGAAUUCCUGGUGUAGCGGUGAAAUGCGCAGAUAUCAGGAGGAACGCCUGUGGUGUAGACGGCUCUCUGGACCAUUACUGACACUGAGGUACGAAAGCGUGGGUAGCAAACAGG
rnacentral:rRNA from 1 species